GACGUAGGGCGCGAGCGUUUGUCCGGAUUUAUUGGGCGUAAAGAGCUCGUAGGCGGCUUGUCGCGUCGACUGUGAAAUCCCGCGGCUCAACCGCGGGUCUGCAGUCGAUACGGGCAGGCUAGAGUUCGGUAGGGGGAGACUGGAAUUCCUGGUGUAGCGGUGAGAUGCGCAGAUAUCAGGAGGAACACCGAUGGCGAAGGCAGGUCUCUGGGCCGAUACUGACGCUGAGGAGCGAAAGCGUGGGGAGCGAACAGG
rnacentral:rRNA from 1 species